AAAUCCUUGAACAGAGACUGCGUCAACAACCGCACGAGACCGUGUCACAAUCACAGUGACUUCCGGACGCCGCCCUGCCACAAGUCUGCCACGAGGCCGCAGGUUGACUUGGAAAGGCUGGAAGUCAGGAGCAGCCAGGUGGAAGGGGUGCCGGGCGAGGGGAGGCAGGGGGGAGGCGCGGAACUUCCCUGGGGUGCCCCCCCCCACGCGGGACCGCGGCUUAGUGUGCAGCCAGGGGCGCCGGCUCCCACCCUGCUGCACGGCCGGCACCGCCUCCGUCCUCGGGUCGCAGAAGCCGAGCUCCGCGCGCUCCUGUGUCCCCGGCGGCCGCUGCGGGCUCUGCGGCUGCAUGAACGCUCCGGUGUCUUGAUUAGAAGCGAGUUCCUAUGGUGUUUGUCCUUUCAUGACUUGUUUCUCUCAGCAUAACAUCUUCGAAGUUCAUUCGUGUUGGGGCGCCGGAUGGAGCUGCCCGUUUGCAGACCGAACAACACUUGGUUGUAGCGCGCAGGUCUCGUUGAUCGGGCCACCAGGGGCCGGCGCUGGGGCUGUCCCGCCGCCGGGCCGGUGUGAGCGAUGCCACCACGAACUCGGUGUGCAAAUGUCGGGCUGAGCCCCUGCUUUCAGUUCCUUCGUAUGGAAACCCCCAGGAUGACAGGCUAGGCCGUAUGAGUCCGGAUUUAAUUGAACCGUGUUGCUUUCGAACAGUUACGUAAUCAUGACAUUCUGUGGCUAUUACAAGAUGGGAGACGUUAUAGCCCGUUGGUGACCACGGUGCCAGAAGUCCCUUCUUUGCUCCAGGCGGUGCACGGGGUGAGCCGGACACAGGGAGAUCUCUCAAGGAGCCCUGUCGGUGGCACACCGUAAGAGGUCAGCUCCAGGUCCAAGAGAGCUGGCCCUGCAGACGGUGCUUCCCACAGAGAGACCCGGAUGGAGAGACCCGGAUGCGUCAGGUCCGCAGGCUGCCUUUCAGCAGCUCUGUCCCUUCAUUCAGUCAACCCACUUGGGGGCUGCUGUCAGCUCAGGCUCAUUCCACUGUCCCAGGACCUUGAUUUGGGCGAUGGCCAGCCUGAAGCCCAAAGUGGAAAAGCAGAUUCUAAUCAGCAGUUGGUUGUCCAGAAACUUCUCAGUCUAGACCUUAUUUCAGGGCCCCCCCUCCUCCGUCAAAUUGAGCUCUGAGGCCGCCCCAUCAGCUUCAGGCUCCCUGGGGAAUAUGAGUGGGGCCUUUCAAGAGCCCUUUGCUUGCUCCUGAAAGCCAAGAACCAUUUUCUACCUGUCAGCUCAGGAGGGUGGACGUGCAGGUUCUGGCCCCUCUGCUCAUCCGUGGCCCGGACCUGAGCCGGCUGUGGGGGUGUCACCUGGGGUCUUCGUAACCACCCUGACCAGGCAAGCCGUUCGGGUCUUGCCUGAGCGACGCGGAAAAGGAAAAUCCAGAGAUUCGGAACAGCAGGCGCAGAAGCAGUAGGGGGAGGUCUGCACGGGCCCGGGGCUGCUGCGCCUGCCUCCAAGCCCCGGCCGCACGCUGGGAGGUGGGGGGCCGGGGGCGCCCACGCCGCGUCCCGGAUCCGUCAAGUCUGAAUCUCAGGGUGGUUAUCGGGCUCCCGGGCUGAUUCCAAGGGCCACGCGGGUCGCGAACACGGCUUCACCGGCACGCUCAGUCCCUUCGCCUCGUCAGGUGCCCCUUUCAUAGCAGAGUCCCGGUCUUGAAACCAAAAGUCGA